rnacentral:rRNA from 1 species
CGGGGUGCAGCAGGCGCGAAAACUUUACCCUGCGGGAAACCGUGAUAAGGGGACACCGAGUGCCAGCAUCAUAUGCUGGCUGUCCAGGUGUGUAAAAUACACCUGUUAGCAAGGGCCGGGCAAGACCGGUGCCAGCCGCCGCGGUAACACCGGCGGCCCGAGUGGUGAUCGUGAUUAUUGGGUCUAAAGGGUCCGUAGCCGGUUUGGUCAGUCCUCCGGGAAAUCUGACGGCUCAACCGUUAGGCUUUCGGGGGAUACUGCCAGGCUUGGAACCGGGAGAGGUAAGAGGUACUACAGGGGUAGGAGUGAAAUCUUGUAAUCCCUGUGAGACCACCUGUGGCGAAGGCGUCUUACCAGAACGGGUUCGACGGUGAGGGACGAAAGCUGGGGGCACGAACCGGAUUAGAUACCCGGGUAGUCCCAGCCGUAAACGAUGCUCGCUAGGUGUCAGGCAUGGCGCGACCGUGUCUGGUGCCGCAGGGAAGCCGUGAAGCGAGCCACCUGGGAAGUACGGCCGCAAGGCUGAAACUUAAAGGAAUUGGCGGGGGAGCAC